rnacentral:lncRNA from 1 species
AACUCUAAAACAUAAAUAAGUCAUACAAGCAUCAUAAUACAAGCCAGGGGCCUCGAGGGCUCGAAUACAAGUGCUCGAUCAUAGACGAGUCAGCGGAAGCAACAAUAUCUGAGUACAGACAUAAGUUAAACAAGUUUGCCUUAAGAAGGCUAGCACAAACUGGGAUACAGAUCGAAAGAGGCGCAGGCCUCCUGCCUGGGAUCCUCCUAACUACUCCUGGUCGUCGUCAGCGGGCUGCACGUAGUAGUAGGCACCUCCGGUGUAGUAGUCGUCGUCGACGGUGGCGUCUGGCUCCUGGACUCCAGCAUCUGGUUGCGACAACCAGAAAGAAAGGAAAGGGGGGAAAAGGGGGGAGAAAGCAACCAUGAGUACUCAUCCAAAGUACUCGCAAGCAAGGAACUACACUACAUAUGCAUGGGUAUAUGUGUAAAGAGGCCAUAUCGGUGGACUGAACUGCAGAAUGACAGAAUAAGAGGGGGAUAGCUAGUCCUAUCGAAGACAACGCUUAUGGCAGCCUCCGUCUUGCAGAAUGUAGAAGAGAGUAGAUUGAAGUCCUCCAAGUAGCAUCUCCAAGUAGCAACUCCAAGUAGCAACUCCAAGUAGCAUCUCCAGUAGCAUCGCAUAGCAUAAUCCUACCCGGCGAUCCUCCCCUCGUCGCCCUGUGGAAAAGCGAUCACCGGGUUGUCUGUGGAACUUGGAAGGGUGUGUUUUAUUAAGUAUCCGGUUUUAGUUGUCAUAAGGUCAAGGUACAACUCCAAGUCGUCCUGUUACCGAAGAUCACGGCUAUUCGAAUAGAUUAACUUCCCUGCAGGGGUGCACCACAUAAUCCAACACGCUUGAUCCCAUUUGGCCGGACACACUUUCCUGGGUCAUGCCCGGCCUCGGAAGAUCAACACGUCGCAGCCCCACCUAGGCAUAACAGAGAGGUCAGCACGCCGGUCUAAACCUAAGCGCGCAGGGGUCUGGGCCCAUCGCCCUGAGCACACCUGCACGUUGCGUGGGCGGCCGGAAGCAGACCUAGCAUAGUGGCGUUCCAGUCCAAUCCGGCACGCGCCGCUCCGUCGCUGACGUCUGAAGUGCUUCGGCUGAUACCACGACGUCGGGAUACCCAUAACUACUCCCACGUAGAUGGUUAGUGCGUAUAGGCCAGUAGCCAGACUCAAAUCAAAUACCAAGAUCUCGUUAAGCGUGUUAAGUAUCCGCGAACGCCGAACAGGGCCAGGCCCACCUCUCUCCUAGGCGGUCUCAACCUGCCCUGUCGCUCCGCCACAAAGAUCCACACUGAGGGCCGCCGGGUCAAAGAUCCUUUCAGCCCCCAAUCCGUCAAUCACUCGCGGGUACUCUUCGAGCUGACCCGACUUUAGUCACCAUCUGUAUAGUAUGUAUGUAUGUAUAGGAUAUACCCGUGAUAACCUCCCGAGUGAUCACAACCCAAUAGUAUAGCAAGGCAGACUGACAAGAAUGUAGGGCCAAUGAUGAUAAACUAGCAUCCUAUGCUAAGUAUUUAGGAUUGCAGGUAAGGUAUCAACAGAUGUAGCAACAAUGUCAGGCUAUGCAUCAGAAUAGGAUUAACGAAAAGCAGUAACAUGCUACACUACUCUAAUGCAAGCAGUAUAGAGAAGAGUAGGCGAUAUCUGGUGAUCAAGGGGGGGGGGGGCUUGCCUGGUUGCUCUAGCAAGAGAGAGGGAUCGUCAACUCCGUAGUCGAACUGGGCAGCAGCAGUGUCGGUCUCGUGGUCUACCGGAGAGAAGAGGGGGAAGAAACAAUGAAUACAAUGCAAACAAAUGCAUAUCGAUGCAUGACAUGACAAGUAACGAUGCUAGGUGUGCCCAAUCGCGGUAGUAGGUGAUACCGACGAAGGGGGGAAACAUCCGGGAAAGUAUUCCCGGUGUUUCGCGUUUUCGGACAGAUGAACCGGAGGGGAAAAGUUGUGUGUUUGCUAUGCUAGGGAUGUGUGAUAGGCGAACGGGCUGUAUAUACGGAUUCGUCUCGUCGUUCUGAGCAACUUUCAUGUACAAAGUUUAUUUUUCAUCCGACCUACGGUUUAUUUUCUAUGAUUUUAUCAAAGUUUUAAAUGAUUUGGGCAUUUAUUUUAAUUUGCAAAUAAACAGAAAAUACCAAGCCUACCCAGCCAUGUGCUAGCCACAUAGGCUGACUGGUGGGGUCUAGGGGUGUCCAGUCAGCAGUUGACCAGUUAACUAUUGACUGGUCAAUAGGGUGAAAUGGGGCCACAUGUCAUUUGCUCUAAAGACUAAACUAGUACUAAAAUACUCCUAAACUAAAUUAGUCCUAAUUAAUACAAGGGCCGGCCACGCACGGAAGUGGGCCGUGACCAAGCCGGCCACCCACACACACCACACACAGCUCGUAACACACAAUUCUGUUUUCUGUUAACAAAAGAUAGCGUUUUGUGAUUUUCAUAGCAUUUAAACUACAGAUCAAAUGGAUUUGGUCCAGUGGGACAAAAAGAAGUUUGUUGAGUGUACUAUCUACUCAUAUUAUUUUCUCUCCUGUUAGUAGUCAUUUAGGCGUUGUUUAAGGACUGUUUAGGGGGCUAGUCAGUGUAAUAUCAGCGAAGCUAGCUACCGCUACAGUAACUGAAUGUUACUGUAGCAGCGUAGAACAGCAGCAGGCAGCUAUACGCGGGCGAGCACGAGCAGAAGCGCAGCAUGGCAGUAGCAGUUCGCAAGGGCUCGCGGAGGCACGGCCAGGGGCGUAUGACCGCGCGCGGGAGCGGAGCUCCGGCCAUGGCGUCCGAAGCGCCGCCGGCGAUGAGCAGCGGCAGCAGGGCGAUGGGUUCGGCGGGGGGGCACAGCCACGCGCGGGCAAGCACGCACGGGGGUGCGGUCGGGCGCAGCCGGUCGUGGCCGAGCGAGGCGGUUACGCGGUCAAGAGAGGAGCUGGGCACGGACGGCGUGACGAGCAGGGAAGGCGGUUGCAGUGAGCAACGACAGCCACGACGCGCGGUGAGGUUCAGGGGGGUAGGCCGCGGCCAGGUCAUGGCCGGCGCGGGCGCGGCCAGGGCGCUCUCCGUGGCGUGGGGGGACGCGUUAGAGAGGCCCGUGAGGCGCGGGCGGCGCGUAGUGAGCAGGAACGCCUAGCGAGUGCGGGCACGACGUCUAGCGGUGAGGACUACGGCCUAAACCGAGGGAGAAUCAGAGGGGAAUCAAACGAGGGCCUCACCACGGAGGCACACGGAGGCCGUCGACAGCUUAGGAGCGCAGAGGACGGAUCAGGGUGGCGGAGCCGCGGUGGUCCGAGGAGGACGACGACGGCGUUCCGGCGCUACAGUGCUCCCCGUCUCCAACGGGUUGCACCAGUGGACGAGGCGGUCCGCGGCGAGGCGGACGGGCACGGUGAUGCCGCGCGAAGGACACGGUGGUGGCGUCAAUGGCGAGCGGUGGCGGCGAUGAUGC